AAUCUGGCUCAGGAUGAACGCUGGCGGCGUGCUUAACACAUGCAAGUCGAGGGGCAGCAUGGUCUUAGCUUGCUAAGGCCGAUGGCGACCGGCGCACGGGUGAGUAACGCGUAUCCAACCUGCCUUACACUCUUGGACAGCCUUCUGAAAGGGAGAUUAAUACAAGAUGUUAUCAUGAGUAAGCAUUUUCGCAUGAUUAAAGGUUUACCGGUGUAAGAUGGGGACGCGUUCCAUUAGA
rnacentral:rRNA from 1 species